UAUUAUGAUAGAGGCGCAGGUUUCAAGAGUAAUUUGCUGCAAAAGGCUGGGCAGCCGCAGCAGAUGAAAGGGGAAACUGCCGAAGAAGCCAAAACAGCCCGGGUUUUGCUUCUGGGACACUGUAGAAUAUGCAGUGUACUGUCACGGAAUCGUGGAGCGCUAUCAGCAUU
rfam:Firmicutes bacterium CAG:424 genomic scaffold, scf8